UACGGAGGGUGCGAGCGUUGUCCGGAAUUAUUGGGCGUAAAGCGUACGUAGGCGGCAUUGCAAGUAGGGUGUGAAAGCCCUCGGCUCAACCGAGGAAUUGCGCUCUAAACUGCAGUGCUUGAGGACCGGAGAGGAUAGUGGAAUUCCCAGUGUAGUGGUGAAAUACGUAGAUAUCGGGAGGAACACCAGUGGCGAAGGCGACUUCCUGGCCUGUUCUUGACGCUGAGGCGCGAAAGCUAGGGGAGCAAACGGG
rnacentral:rRNA from 1 species